UACGGAGGGGACUAGCGUUGUUCGGAAUUACUGGGCGUAAAGCGCACGUAGGCGGAUUUGUAAGUCAGGGGUGAAAUCCCGGGGCUCAACCUCGGAACUGCCUUUGAUACUGCAAAUCUCGAGUCCGGAAGAGGUGAGUGGAAUUCCUAGUGUAGAGGUGAAAUUCGUAGAUAUUCGGAAGAACACCAGUGGCGAAGGCGACUCGCUGGACAAGUAUUGACGCUGAGGUGCGAAAGCGUGGGGAGCAAACAGG
rnacentral:rRNA from 1 species